rnacentral:rRNA from 1 species
GACGAACGCUGGCGGCGUGCUUAACACAUGCAAGUCGAACGGAAAGGCCCUGCUUUUGUGGGGUGCUCGAGUGGCGAACGGGUGAGUAACACGUGAGUAACCUGCCCUUUACUUUGGGAUAACUUCAGGAAACUGGGGCUAAUACCGGAUAGGAGCUCCUGCUGCAUGGUGGGGGUUGGAAAGUUUCGGCGGUUGGGGAUGGACUCGCGGCUUAUCAGCUUGUUGGUGGGGUAGUGGCUUACCAAGGCUUUGACGGGUAUCCGGCCUGAGAGGGUGACCGGCAACAAUGGGACGGAGAUACGGCACAGAAUGAUACGGGAGGAAGCAGUGGGGAAUAGUGCAAAAUGGGAGGAAGCAUGAUGAAGAAAAGGAGCGUGCGGGAUGACGGCCUUCGGGUUGUAAAACGAAUUAGAAUGUGACGAAGCGUGAGUGACGGUAAUGGGUAAAGAAGCACCGGCUAACUACGUG